GUAACUAAUUUCUUUCAUUCCUCUUCAUUCUCAAAUUGUAGCAAUAGCAGUAUAUUAUAUGAGAAUAUACAUUAUAAUUGUUUAUUGUGGAGCUCAUUCUAGCUACUAGCAAUAAAGCUUUCUAGAAAAACCCUUCAUUACAUUUAAGCUAGCAGAUAAUGAAGUGUGAAGAAUCUCUUCAGACACUGAGAUGUCUCUGAUGUACUUCAGUGUCCACGUUUGUUUCAGCUUCUCUACAUAUAUUUUCCCAAAAUAUUCUGCGCUAUACUUAAUGAAACAUUUUUAUCAGUCACUUAGAAUGAUUUCAUUUGAGACAAUCCUCCGUCAUAUUAAUAAUGGCAUAUAUUUUUUUGAAUCAGCAGAGGUUUUUAAUUUCUGGGCGUAGAACAAUACUAAUUCUCUGGCCCUGAGACGUUUUGGAAAUAUAAAAAAAGAAAUUUUUUAUAAAAGACAAUUGAAUGAAAUGCUAACGGGGAAAAAAAAUGUAACCUUUGAAUUCUAUGCCCAGCAAAAGAAAGGAUGGAAGAAGGAAGACAAAUUAUAGUCUUUUUCGGACAAACAACAACUGACAGUUUGUCGUCAAUGGACUUUUUAGGUGGGUGGGUGUGACUGGAGAUAGAGGUCUCUACAUAAAAAAUUGGAUACACAAGAAAGAUAGAAGAGCCAUAAGUGUGUUUCUAACCACAUGGUCACAAGAUAAGCAAAAGUUAACAGAAGUACAAGAAGAGAAAUCUACCAUCAGAGAGAUUACAAUGGUACCAAUACAGCAUUUGACAAAGGAAUGACUUGUGGAUGCAUAAUGCAAUUGGAAGUCUAACUGCAAAGCUCUUAGAGGGAUCUUGAUCAGAAGGCAAAUUCUGGCCCCCAGGCUCCGUUUAUCUCCCUCUGUGCUGGGAUGAGGGUCCAGAUUGCCAUAAGGAGCCAAGUUCUCCAGUGGCCGAAGGAAUAUAAGCUGAAUUGUUGUACACGACUUCCAGGAAGUGGCCCUUAAAGAAAGAGGCAGGAUCUUCCCUUCUUCCUGAUGGCUAGAGGGCAGACAUGAUGGCUGGAGCUGCAGCAACUAUCUUGGGCUACAAAAUAGACUUUACAUGAUACAGAUAAGGAAAAUAAUGUCUGUCUUGAAGAGUUCACCUAACAAACUUUUAUUGUCCAUCUACUAUCUGCAUGACAUAAUGCUAGAGAAACCACUGAGAAAAAGACAGACAAGACCUCGAUGUUCCUGGGGCAUGCAGUCCAGUGAUGGAGAGAUGAUAAAGCAAGCAAACGAGAAUCACAGCAAACAGUUUAGUGUAACAGAGAAGAACAGAGUGUGAGCACCGAGAACUGGGAAAUCAGCCCCUCUAAGGGCUAAAAGAGUAACUGAUGGAAAGCUCUGGGCACACUGGCCAGUUACUAUUAUAGUCCUCACCUGGUAGCUGCCAGAACUGCUCUCCUCAAAGGGGAGCCUGCCAUUAGCAAAUCACAAGUGUGCCCCUCCCCAGCCAUGCCGCUUGUGCACAGCUCCUACCAGGGUCAUCCAAUCUGUGCUCUUUCUGUCCAUCUGAGGAUGGAGGGAGGCCUCACACAGACUGCCAGCAGGGAAAGCUAUUGGCUGCAGACCUUGCCUGGCACAGACCCUCCGCUGAGCU
rnacentral:lncRNA from 1 species